GGUGGUUAGUCUGGAGCUGGCUGGGGUCAAGGGUGGAGGGCAGACCUGGGGGUCUGGCUCACUGCCCCCCAGAAUGGACCCAGCCGAGGGGUCCGGUUCGCUGUAUCUACAAGCUCUGUUUUAGACCCUGUUCCUGUCAUCGAAUAAACCUCUGUUUUACUGGCUGGCUGAGAGUCACGUCUGACUGCAAAGUGGGGGUGCAGAACCCGGUGGCUUCCCCAGGACCCCGCUGGGGUGGACUCGCUGUGGGAAGCGCACGGAGGGGCAGAGGAUGCUGAAUGCUCCAAGGAGAGACCCAGGAGGUGAAGCCGUGUGAGCUUCUUGCCCUGAACAAGUCUGCUCCAAGGGAGAGGAGGCUCCCCAAAGUCCUGACUGGCUUGGUGGGGAGCAGUUCCAGAGCAUCGCCCGGUGACUCCGUGACAACUGGUGGCAGCGGUGGGAUGUACUGCACCCCGUGAAUGGCGCUGCUUGCAGUAAGUGACUGGGGAGCAGUAAAACAAAGGAGGGAUAAUGAGGACCAGGCGUGCUGAAGGCUCAGAGAGGGACGGUUUCAGGGGGCAGUUAACCUCUGGGAGUGUGUGACCAGCGAGAAGGACUGUUGGAGUAACGGGGUCCCCCUGAGGACUGCAGCGAGCAGUCUCAGGGGCGGAGGAGCUUGCCGCUCGACCCUGGGAGAGAGAAGGAUUUUGCAGUAGCAGGGUUCCCCGGGGGAUUGCAGGAGCAGUCCCAGGGGCGGAGGAGUCUGCAGCUCGACCCUGGCAAAGAGGUGGUGAUCACGAGAAGGGCUGGCACACCAGGGGUUCUUCCUGGAAACCAUGGGGGAGCCAAGAGCACACAGGCCUGUGAGUCCAGAGCCACUUGGGAACGGUGAAGUGAUGGCCUAUCACCAUCUCCUUGAGAAGGACAUUGUGAUCCUGUGCACAAAGAGAGGGUUACGCAUGGGGAAAUUCACCAAGGCACAGUUAAUCGUGCAGUUGGAGGAGAAGCACCGCUCUGAGGAGCAGAUUCCUGGCCCAGAUGGGGCUACAAGAGGAUCUGAGAGCAGCUGGAGCAUCAGCCAGGCAUCCCCGGGAGUCUGGUCCCCAAUCAGACGAGGGUCUUCACGAUUGGGUUCCCCAUCAGGAGAUUGGAGACGGAUGGGAUGGGAGCAGAGCCCGAGAGAGCGAGAGGACCGUGAGAGAAAGCAAGAGCCCGAGGAAAAGCUGCAGGAGAAGCAGCAGCAGCGUGGACUGGUGAUGGUGGAGCAGAGAGACAUAGGGGGCUGCCCAGGGGUCAGUGGGGAAACACGCCUGCAGGGGCGAGACCCUGGGACAGAGAGAACUGUGGUGGUGCAGCCCCAGAUGCUGAGGGACUGUGGGACCUGGGUGAAGUUCCCUGGGGUGAAGCCCCUCGCCCUGCCUAUGGCCCAGAUCCCUGUGCAGACCCAGGAGGGGUCGGGCUGGCUGGUAGUUGGGGUUCUCCAGGAUAUCGGCUGGGAGGCCCUGUUGGGGGGUGACUGUCUCCCCAUGGGACAGGAUCCAGGCCCCGCUCCUGUAACGGCCGAGGGUUUGAAUUCAAAUCCAGGGAACCAAUUGGCUAGGAUGGAAAUGGUCAGUGAAAAUGCAAAUAACCUGGCUGGCAGGGGGGAGGGGCUGCUGGGCUCAGGAUACCUGCCUACCUGUAACCAGCCCCCUGGGGCUGAGUGGGAGGGAGAGAUGCUCCCCGCCCCCCUGCACACCGGAGAGGGGGCUCACGCUGGCUCUGAUGCUGUGACCAGAGCAGAGAGCUCGCUGCCUGCCCCCACUGGGACAGCAAGGGCAGCGCUGAGCACGGGGGGAGCUGAGACCCCAGCUGAGUGGGGGGACACCCAGGCAGGGCAGGUCAGCUGCCAAACAGGUUUGCCUGGUCCAGACGUGCUGCUGGGAAGUGAUUACACAGCAGGGAGGGAGCUACCAGGGACAGGGCUCAGGGGGGCUGUGACCCCAGGCCCAGCCAGCGAGAGGGAGCAGGUCCCACUCCCUGCCCCAGCUGCUGAAUCCCAGACCGAGCUGCAGAGGGAUCCCUCCUUGGAGAAGCUGAGGGAACUUGCUGGCCACAGCGCUGCAAACCCCCUUGGGGAAGGCUGCAGGGACAGAGUCCUGCAGGAGAAGGGAUUCCUGUACCGGGAAUGGGCUCCCCAAGGGGAAGUAGAACUGGGGGGAAUCGGGAGGCAGCUGGUGGUGCCCCAGGAAUCCACAGGGUUCUUCCCUUUCGAGCUGCUGGAUGGGAGGAGAGUGAGGGGACCCCUGGACCUGAAGGGGGAGGAUUGGGAGGAGAAGGGGGAAGACCCCCUGGGGGAUCUCUUCCCUGAGGUGGGAGACAAUCUCCCCAUCAGGUGUUCCCCGUUCAGAGUCACUGGGAAAGCAGCCCAGAACCUGGAGAGAGAGGUCAGGGACCUGCUGGCUUUAGAUGGGAUCCAGCCAUUUUACAGCCCAUGGGCCUCACCCGUGGGGCUGAUCCCCAAGGGAGACAGGAUGAUCUGGUUUUAUGGGGGCUAUCAGAAGCUUAAAGCCAUCACAGUGUCCGAUGCCGACCCCAUGCCUAGGCCUGGGGAGAUUCUAGACAAGCUGAGAGGGAUGGAGAACUUGGCCCUGGCAGACACUGAUAACAUGUGCAUCUUUAGCCAGACCUGGGAGGAACAGGUGUCCCAGGUGAAGAGGGGGCUGGGCUGCCUCAAGGAGGUGGGACUGACGGUAAAAGCUGGAAAGUGUAAGGUGGGAACGGCAGAGGCGUUGUGUC
rnacentral:lncRNA from 1 species